rnacentral:misc_RNA from 1 species
GACGUAGGGAGCAAGCGUUGCCCGGAAUUACUGGGCGUAAAGCGCGCGUAGGUGGUUUGUUAAGUUGGAUGUGAAAGCCCCGGGCUCAACCUGGGAACUGCAUCCAAAACUGGCAAGCUAGAGUAUGGCAGAGGGUGGUGGAAUUUCCUGUGUAGCGGUGAAAUGCGUAGAUAUAGGAAGGAACACCAGUGGCGAAGGCGACCACCUGGGCUAAUACUGACACUGAGGUGCGAAAGCGUGGGGAGCAAACAGG